UACGUAGGGUGCGAGCGUUAAUCGGAAUUACUGGGCGUAAAGCGUGCGCAGGCGGUUUUGUAAGCCAGAUGUGAAAUCCCCGGGCUUAACCUGGGAAUGGCAUUUGGGACUGCAAGGCUUGAGUGCGGCAGAGGAGACUGGAAUUCCCGGUGUAGCGGCGAAAUGCGCAGAUAUCAGGAGGAACACCGAUGGCGAAGGCGGGUCUCUGGGCCGGAACUGACGCUGAGGAGCGAAAGCGUGGGGAGCGAACAGG
rnacentral:rRNA from 1 species